ensembl:lncRNA
CGACAGAAGAUACACGACAGCGUGAUACACACUUAUAUAUCUAUACUUUCAUAUGCAUAUUUUAUAUACUGAACAAAUUCUUGAACUUUGAAGAAGGUUUGGACAUCACUAAAGGAUGAAGAUCCUCCUCAUCUUCACCCUUUACCUGAUCUCAGGUCCAGUGGGCUGCUUUGAUGUGACUGGCUACGCAGGAGGCAUGGUUUUAAAUACCAGUACAAAGGAUCUGUAAAAAUAUUUUUGUAAAGAGAAAACAGAGCAGUGUAUUUAUGUAACAACAAAGAACCCAUCGGCUCAUAAAGACAGAUUUUCUCUAUAUGCCUUUUCUAAAGUUCUUCAGGUGAUCUACAGAGAUCUGAGUUUAGAAGAUGCUGGAUUAUAUCAGUGUGGAGAGACUGGAGCGUGGAAUCACACUGUAAACCUGAGAGUAAAAACAGAUCCAUGUUGUUCGGGACCAAAGUCUGUGAUUGGUUAUCUGGGAGAGACCGUCACUAUCAACUGUUCCUAUCCAGAGGAGUUUCAGUGUUACAGCAAGUACUUAUUCAAACGGAAGGAUAAUCAUUUACAUGAAGUGAUCAGAACCUCAGACUCUCAGAUAGACAGAUUCUCCAUCUCUGAUGACAGAAGCUCUAGAGUUUCAGUUUGAGAAUCAGAGAUGUGAGAAAAGAUGAUGGAGAAGUUUAUUUCUUUGGAUCGGCGAAGGGAGGAGAGUCCGUGAGUUACUCUACACUAUCACAGAGAUUCAUCUACAGGUUUCUGACUCUAAAGAAACACUCAGACCAAGAGCAACUAUCCAAUCAACAUCAGUGACGUACAGGAGAACAUCAACACCAACAGAACCAACAGUGACCAUCUCUACUGAAGAACCUUCCACUCCAGGCUCCUCGAUCAUCACCAACAUUACCUCUGUGAGUAUCUGUGUGGUUCUGCUGCUGAUUGGAGGAUUAAUACUGAUCUACUACAAGCCUCAAGACUCUGCCUUCAUCAGUCAACCCUCAGGAACCAAUGAACAAUGUGAUUAUGAAAAUGAUCCACAAGGAAACCUGAACAUCAUCAGAAUGGAUCUAAACUACCAGAACGUGCAACCCAACACCACCAACUCUGAUUCUGUCUACCAGAGUCUGGAUCCCAGAACCCGAGAACCUGAUUCAAUUUACCAGAGUCUAAACCCCAAAACCAACCAAUCAGGUUGAGUCUAAGAGACUCUGAUCUCCAAAACCAACAAAUCAGAUUCAGUUUACCAGAGUUGAAUCCCAACAUCAACCAAUCAGAUUCAGUCUACCAGAGUCAGAUUCAGCCUAAUCCUUAACAUCAAUGACUAUUACAACAGUUUGAUUUAAUUAGACAACUCUGGAAUGUGAUGAAGUUUAUAGACUGCUUGUGUUUAGAUUAAGAUUAAUUGCUAGCUUUAUGUUAAAUCAUCUAUAUUCAAUUAAAUAUAAAAUAAGAUGCAGUUGUAAUAUUGUAAAGAAAAUGUUAAUGUGCUGAUUCAAAUCAUAACCCGUAUUUUUUUAUUGAUUUGUCUUAAAACUGUUAUUACAAUUUUCUUAUUUUAUAAUUUUUACAUAAAUGUGCAAGUUUUGUUGUUUUUCUGAUGUAGUAUUUGAUAUGCUUGAUCUUCAGAUCUUUAAUAAAUCUUUCAACGGUUUUAAGAGUCUUUGUUUU